rnacentral:rRNA from 1 species
AAUUCGAUUGAGUUUGAUCAUGGCUCAGGACGAACGCUGGCGGCGUGCUUAACACAUGCAAGUCGAGGGCACUCAGCAAUGAGUGACCGGCGAACGGGUGCGUAACACGUGAGCGACCUGCCGUACCUGUGGGGGAUAGCCGGCCCAACGGCCGGGUAAUACCGCAUACGAUCGUUUUGUCGCAUGGCGAGACGACGAAAGCUUGGCGCAAGUCAGGCGCAGGACGAGGGGCUCGCGGCCUAUCAGCUAGUUGGCGGGGUAACGGCCCACCAAGGCGACGACGGGUAGCUGGUCUGAGAGGAUGGCCAGCCACAUUGGGACUGAGAGACGGCCCAGACUCCUACGGGAGGCAGCAGUGGGGAAUCUUGCGCAAUGGCCGAAAGGCUGACGCAGCGACGCCGCGUGUGGGAGGACGCCCUUCGGGGUGUAAACCACUGUUGCCCGGGACGAAUUCCCGCUUGGCGGGAUUGACGGUACCGGGUGAGGAAGCACCGGCUAACUCCGUGCCAGCAGCCGCGGUAAUACGGAGGGUGCGAGCGUUGUCCGGAAUCACUGGGCGUAAAGGGCGCGUAGGCGGCUUGAUAAGGCUGUGGUGAAAGUCCGGGGCUCAACCCCGGAUCGGCCGUGGCGACUGUUGGGCUGGAGCACUGUAGAGGCGAGCGGAAUUCCGGGUGUAGCGGUGGAAUGCGUAGAGAUCCGGAAGAACACCGGUGGCGAAGGCGGCUCGCUGGGCAGGAAGAUCCUCGCAAGGGGAUCGGCUGACGCUGAGGCGCGACAGCGUGGGGAG